rnacentral:rRNA from 1 species
UACGUAGGGUGCAAGCGUUGUCCGGAAUUAUUGGGCGUAAAGAGCUCGUAGGCGGUUUGUUGCGUCGGCUGUGAAAUCCCGAGGCUCAACCUCGGGUCUGCAGUCGAUACGAGCAAACUAGAGUGUUGCAGGGGAGACUGGAAUUCCUGGUGUAGCGGUGAGAUGCGCAGAUAUCAGGAGGAACACCGGUGGCGAAGGCGGGUCUCUGGGACGGUACUGACGCUGAGACGCGAAAGCGUGGGGAGCGAACAGG